UNAUGGACGAGAGUCUGAACCAGCCAAGUAGCGUGAAGGAUGACUGCCCUAUGGGUUGUAAACUUCUUUUAUACGGGAAUAAAGUGAGGCACGUGUGCCUUUUUGUAUGUACCGUAUGAAUAAGGAUCGGCUAACUCCGUGCCAGCAGCCGCGGUAAUACGGAGGAUCCGAGCGUUAUCCGGAUUUAUUGGGUUUAAAGGGAGCGUAGGCGGACGCUUAAGUCAGUUGUGAAAGUUUGCGGCUCAACCGUAAAAUUGCAGUUGAUACUGGGUGUCUUGAGUACAGUAGAGGCAGGCGGAAUUCGUGGUGUAGCGGUGAAAUGCUUAGAUAUCACGAAGAACUCCGAUUGCGAAGGCAGCUUGCUGGACUGUAACUGACGCUGAUGCUCGAAAGUGUGGGUAUCAAACAGGAUUAGAUACCCUGGUAGUCCAAGGGCGAAUUC
rnacentral:rRNA from 1 species